rnacentral:lncRNA from 1 species
GCUGCAUACACAAUAUUUGAAAAUAUCUCAAGCUAACUUAAUUUUAUAUGAUUUAUAUAUCGAUCCAACAAGAAACAAUACUAUGCAUGGCAUGUUUAUGAUCAAACUACAAAUAUAAAAUCUGAAUAACUUAAUUAUGAAAUUCUAAGAUUGAUCAUCCAUCUUUACAUAUAAAUACAUAAUAUACUUUAUGAAUAUUUAUAGAUAAAGAAAAUUGGUCAUGAGCCUAG